rnacentral:lncRNA from 1 species
AGAGCCCUCUGCACUCUGGGACAGGGACAGGAGCCAGGGCACGGCUGGAGCUGGGCCAGGGCAGCUCAGGCUGGAGAGCAGGAAAGGUUCUUCCCCCAGAGGUGCUGGCACUGCCCAGGCUCCCCAGGGAAUGGGCACGGCCCCGAGGCUGCCAGAGCUCCAGGAGCCUUUGGGCAGCGCUGCCAGGGAUGCCCAGGGUGGGGUUGUCUGGGGUCUGGGCAGGGCCAGGGGCUGGGCUGGGUGAUCCUUGGGGUCCCUUCCAGCCUAGGACAGUCUGUGAUUCCAGGAUUCCUCUUGCAGGGUGCAGAUGGUGCCCCUGGGGUGAGGGGACAGCUGGGACAGGAGGGCCCUGGGGGUUUUCUUGGCCUGCCAGGUGCAAAAGGCACCCAAGGAGAGCAGGGCUGCCGAGGUCCAGGUGGAGCCAAGGGAGAUUUGGGAGCCAAAGGAGGCAAGGUACCAAUUCCCAAGCCUGUGGUUUCUCCAAAUGCCACCUGGAGGUCUCUGGUCACCCUGGGGAGGGGACAGGGAG